UACGAAGGGGGCUAGCGUUGCUCGGAAUCACUGGGCGUAAAGCGCACGUAGGCGGCUUUUUAAGUCAGGGGUGAAAUCCUGGAGCUCGACUCCAGAACUGCCUUUGAUACUGGGAAGCUUGAGUCCGGGAGAGGUGAGUGGAACUCCGAGUGUAGAGGUGAAAUUCGUAGAUAUUCGGAAGAACACCAGUGGCGAAGGCGGCUCACUGGCCCGGUACUGACGCUGAGGUGCGAAAGCGUGGGGAGCAAACAGG
rnacentral:rRNA from 1 species